rnacentral:lncRNA from 1 species
UUCCUCAUUCCUCCAGACAGAGAGAGUACUGACAGCUGCUUUAGCUGCCGUUUAGUGAGCGCUUAUCCAGUGGGUGACCCUGUUCCGGGGCUCACUGUGCCUUCAUUCUAACACCUAAUCCCAGGGUCAUUAUUAUGUUUUAUUAUUAUCUGGCAUUCUUAGUACCAACACCACCUGACAGCGGGAACCACCACCGGCCUGGGUGUAGUGUACCCAGCCUGUCCUCUGACUUCAAAGCCUCUCCUGCGAGAGACACAGUUUAUGGCUUCUUCGCACAAUUUAUUAAAAGCGCCUUUCAACACCCAAACGGGUUGGAUUGGCUUUUGUAAUAAUAAUCUGGCUACGAGGGGAAACCCGGGAGGGCCCCCCGGAGGGGAAGUGGACUGUCUCAGGACUCGCAGCCUGAAACCAGCCGGGUAGGUGGGAAGGGACCCAGGGAGGGGCCGCGUGGAUCUAGGGCGAGGGUGUCAUCCAGGGACUUUGCUCCAAGGACCCUGCCUGGGAUAGAAAUCCUUCUUCCUUCAACCACCGGCCAUCAGCCUCGGGACCAGGAGGCCACGCUGAAGCACGAUUCUUCCC